rnacentral:rRNA from 1 species
CCUACGGGGAGCAGCAGUAGGGAAUCUUCCGCAAUGGGCGCAAGCCUGAAGGAGCAAUGCCGCGUGAACGAGGAAGGUCUUCGGAUCGUAAAGUUCUGUUGACGGGGAAGAACAGCGGCUAGAGUAAAUGAACGCGGAUUGACGGUACCCUACGAGGAAGUCACGGCUAACUACGUGCCAGCAGCCGCGGUAAUACGUAGGGGGCAAGCGUUAUCCGGAAUGAUUGGGCGUAAAGGGGGCGUAGGCGGGUUGUUAAGUCUGGGGUGAAGGUCCCGGGGUCAACCGGGUAGGGUCUUUGGAAACGGGCGAACUAGAGUGCAGGAGAGGGUAGUGGAACUCCAUGUGUAGCGGUAAAAUGCGUAGAUAUAUGGAGGAACACCAGUGGCGAAGGCGACUGUCUGGCCUGUUACUGACGCUGAGGCACGAAAGCGUGGGUAGCAAACAGGAUUAGAUACCCCGGUAGUC